rnacentral:rRNA from 1 species
UACGUAGGUGGCGAGCGUUGUCCGGAUUUACUGGGCGUAAAGGGCGUGCAGGCGGCCCCGUUAAGUGCAUGGUGAAAGCUCCCGGCUCAACUGGGAGAGGUCUGUGUAUACUGGCGGGCUUGAGGGGGGUAGAGGAAAGUGGAAUUCCCGGUGUAGUGGUGAUAUGCGUAGAUAUCGGGAGGAACACCUGUGGCGAAGGCGGCUUUCUGGGCCCUACCUGACGCUGAGA